AAGGUCAACUAAUAGCGAAAUUCGGAAGGCGCUAUAGAAGGUUGAUCGAUAGAAGAGUUCGGAAGGCGUUGUGGAAGUUCGUCCGCUGGAGGAAUCUGGAGGAUACUGUGGAAGGUCCACUGCUGGAGAGGUCCGGAGGAAAUUUAUCCGUUGGAGGGUUCUGGUUGGCACUAUUGAAGUCCGGUUGACGCUAUUGAAGGUUGAUGGCUGGAGAG
rnacentral:lncRNA from 1 species